AAAGUCGUAACAAGGUAUCCGUAGGUGAACCUGCGGAUGGAUCAUUAUCACGUAUCUCACGUAUAAACCAUUGUGAACUGUACCCACCUUGGAGAUAAUAAGACAGUGUUGAAUAUAGCGUUACAACGGAACCCCUAGUGAUUUGGUUCCCAGUUAUUAUUCAACCUUUUAAACUCUUCACCGAGUUUAAUGCUUGUUUUCUCUGAGUGUAUUCAAAAUUAAUCACUUAUUUAAUUUACCUUUUAAACCUUUACACUUUAACCUUAAACUGAUCUAUUUCUUACUCCCGUUAAACGGAGAAGAAAUUUCAUUACGAAACAUAAGAACAACUCUUAGCAACGGAUAUCUUGGUUCUC
rnacentral:misc_RNA from 1 species